UCAGUAUAGGAGGUCAGCCUGCCCAGUGACCACAAGUUCAACGGCCGCGGUAUUUUGACCGUGCAAAGGUAGCGCAAUCACUUGUCUUUUAAAUAGAGACCUGUAUGAAUGGCCAAACGAGGGCUUAACUGUCUCCCUUUUCAAGUCAGUGAAAUUGAUCUACCCGUGCAGAAGCGGGUAUAACGAUACAAGACGAGAAGACCCUUUGGAGCUUAAGGUACAAAACUCAACCACGUUAAGCAACUUAAUAAAAAGUAAAAACUUUGUGAAACAUGAGAUUUUACCUUCGGUUGGGGCGACCGCGGAGGAAAAAAAAGCCUCCAAGUGGACCGGGACAAACUCCUAAAACCAAGAGAAACACCUCUAAGCCACAGAACAUCUGACCAAACAUGAUCCGGCCACCAGGACCGAUCAACGAACCAAGUUACCCUAGGGAUAACAGCGCAAUCCUCUCCCAGAGUCCAUAUCGACGAGAGGGUUUACGACCUCGAUGUUGGAUCAGGACAUCCUAAUGGUGCAGCCGCUAUUAAGGGUUCGUUUGUUCAACGAUUAAAGUCCUACGUGAUCUGAUUCCAGACCGG
rnacentral:rRNA from 1 species